GGUGCCCCCUCUCCCGCGAUCGCCCGCGCCAUCCGUCUCUCCCUCUCUAUCCUCCCUGCUAUCUCCGACACCGCCGCUCCAGUAGCCAGGCUGUCGCCAUCUCACAUCCUGCAACUUAUUUGGGCGCAGAUGUCGCAGUCUGCCGAGGAUGACGCCCAGUUGGAGCGCCGCCUCACCGCCUACAAGCACCGCCGCCACCUUCGCUUCCCGGACCAAGAUGGAAUAGGCGCCGCUGCCUAGGCCGAUGAUCUGCCUGCGUGCGCCCGCUGCUUAGGGGAGCAUCUGCAUCAACCUGCCACGGUGUCCAUCGAUCUUCCAUGCGUCCGCCUAACCCCAACCUGCAGAACGGCUGUUGCAUCUUCUCUAUGCAUUAUUCCCCAACUCUCAUCACCCUUGCAUGGAAACCAUGUCCUCGUACCCUCCUUAGCCUCCUGAUCUUCCUCUCCCAUCUCUCAAGCUCCAACAAUGGCUGCUUGCUGACUUUUGUACUCGGCACCUCCACCGCCGUGUGGAAUUUUUUAACUCACAUGUCAAGCAUUUUCUAUGAGCGUCCUUCUCCUUUUAUCAAUGCUUGAAAAAUGAUUACCAACGAGUGGUGUUUUAUUUGCAGAUAUGAUGAUUUAGGCAAUACUGCUAGGAAGAAAAAGAUGAUGAGCUAUCAACUCAGAUCUGAUGGUGCAAGUCCAAUUGGUGGCUGGCCUUUUGUUGUGUUAGUUGUUGGAUGCUGGCUCGUUAUAAUUUUCCUUCUUUUCAAUUGUGCUCUCACGAGUCCUAUAAUGUUUAUAUGGUAACCUGAUCUCAGCUUCAUAUAAAUCGAUUUUUCAGAAGUUACUAUCAUCCUUGGAUUUGUCAGGAAUGGGAAUAACUAGCUAUGAAAGGGAUAGGAAAUGACAUGGAUAAUGGGCUCAAGAAGUUCACUUAUUUGCGGUAAAAUAAUGUUUAUGAUAACUGAUGGAUUCCACAAUCACUAAUCAAUUGUUGGUGCUUGUGCAGGUGUUAGUUAGUUAUUGUUUAUGUUUUUCUUUAUUUCAUCUGAAUUGGAGUUGUCUUCCUGUGUUUCCUUGAACUGCAUGUUGAAUGGUUCAUGAAAUGGAUGAUGUACACACAUCAAGAUUUUUUUUAUCUAGCUGGCUGCAGGUUCUGUGACUGGUUGGACGAUGCUGUCGCCUAGCAAUGGCAAGGACUGAUCACCUGCUGCUGCACUAAGUCACUAUUGGUCAAGACCUUGAGUUGCAAGCAUAAUUCAUGGGCUUAUGAUCCACGAGAAGAUCCUGGCCCGCACCGUCAAGAUAUACCCUCCAUAGUGUUACAGAACUUGGUCCUUACUUGGUGGUUGGUGAACUGGUGAUGUUGUUUCUGCAGAGACUGAUGAAAACUGCAUGUCUUACAAGUUUUGAAGCUUGACAUGCUUCAGGAAAUUUGAAGACGAUGAAGCCAGGAUAGUGGUGACAUUUCUCUAAUAUGGGCAUACAACUUCAUUAAAGGUUGACAGAAGAUGUUUGCUUGCCCCUCCAUAAAUUGACCCUGACAUACGGAUUGAGGGUCUGAAUCCACAUAGUGGUAGACGUACUCUACCAAAUGUAUCGUCUGAUAGACAGUUCAAUGGUUGGUGUACUUCAAGAUUUAUUAGAAUCAGAGUAAAUACUUGAUCAUUUUGGUAUGUCUUAUUAUGCUUCACAUUCCUGUGUAAACUUGAUUU